UACAGAGGUCUCAAGCGUUGUUCGGAUUUAUUGGGCGUAAAGGGUGCGUAGGUGGCGGGGUAAGUCAGGUGUGAAAUUUCGGAGCUCAACUCCGAAACUGCAUUUGAUACUGCCUUGCUUGAGGACUGGAGAGGAGACUGGAAUUCACGGUGUAGCAGUGAAAUGCGUAGAUAUCGUGAGGAAGACCAGUGGCGAAGGCGGGUCUCUGGACAGUUCCUGACACUGAGGCACGAAGGCCAGGGGAGCAAACGGG
rnacentral:rRNA from 1 species